rnacentral:tRNA from 1 species
GGUCGCUUAGCUCAGUUGGUUAGAGCGUGGUGCUAAUAACGCCAAGGUAUGUCUUCUAAUCAAUCUUUCCACCCCGAGGGUCCAACUAACAAAAAAUAGGUCGCGAGUUCGACCCUCGUAGUGACCA